rnacentral:lncRNA from 1 species
UUCAUUAUCUAAUUUUGUGACAUUCCUUUGUUAGUGGCCUAAGCAUGACUACAGAACAUUCUGGAAAUAUGGCUCUUCAGGAGGUGAUCAGUUUUCAAAUACUGGAAAUAUUUGAAUGGCUGAGAACACAAGAACCACAAAGUGACCUCAGGGCAUCCGACCCCAACCCCCACCGCCCUCACAUCCUAAACUCCUGGAAUCACAGAAGGUGCUUGCUUCCCCUUCUUCAACUACGAUUGUAAGUUUCCUGAGGCCUUCUCGUACAUGUGGAAUGAACGGACAUUUACUAUUUAAGACUCCAAAACGAUUGGCCUUUGCUAUCAGGUCGUUGCAACAAAUGGUCCAACUGGUUUGGCAGGCACAAGCACAAAAGAAGCCUCAGGUAAUUUCUUAGAAACUGUCUUCCUACACUCAGGAGGUUUAUGAUCACUUAUGAAUUGUUCAACUAGAAGUCCUACUCAUUUUGAAUAAAAGGGGGUAGGAGCUGAUAAUGGUAGUUUAUCUGGGCCCUAUGCACUUGGAAAACAGGAAUGGUUGAGAAAUAUCCCAAUAUUUUGUCUUAUGAGAAAUUGCUAAUUUCCAAGGACUCUCAUGCAUGUUCUAAGAACUCAUCAUCUGCACUCUUUCUCCACCCCUCUUUGUGACUGCC